rnacentral:sRNA from 2 species
UCGCGUCACGCGCCGAAGGCAGGAGCGGGGGACCCAAGGUAGGUGCCGCACCGGGCAGUUGACCGGAGCGGCUUGGGGUUAAGCCGUGCCUCUCCCCAGGGGGGCGCGGCCGGGCACUCAACCGGCCCGAACCCGACAGCUCACCUCGCAGGCGUCGGUGAGGGGAUCA